rnacentral:rRNA from 1 species
UACGUAGGGUGCGAGCGUUGUCCGGAAUUAUUGGGCGUAAAGAGCUUGUAGGCGGUUGUCGCGUCUGCCGUGAAAAUCCGGGGCUCAACCCCGGACUUGCGGUGGGUACGGGCAGACUAGAGUGUGGGUAGGGGAGACUGGAAUUCCUGGUGUAGCGGUGAAAUGCGCAGAUAUCAGGAGGAACACCGAUGGCGAAGGCAGGUCUCUGGGCCACUACUGACGCUGAGGAGCGAAAGCGUGGGGAGCGAACAGG